AGAACGAACGCUGGCGGCACGCCUAACACAUGCAAGUCGAGCGCCCAGCAAUGGGAGCGGCGGACGGGUGAGGAACACGUGGGAACAUGCCUUUCGGUUCGGCACAACUGCGGGAAACUGCAGCUAAUUCCGGAUACGCCCUUACGGGGAAAGAUUUAUCGCCGAAAGAUUGGCCCGCGUCUGAUUAGCUAGUUGGUGAGGUAAUGGCUCACCAAGGCUUCGAUCAGUAGCUGGUUUGAGAGAACGACCAGCCACACUGGGACUGAGACACGGCCCAGACUCCUACGGGAGGCAGCAGUGGGGAAUCUUGGACAAUGGAGGAAACUCUGAUCCAGCGAUGCCGCGUGAGUGAUGAAGGCCUUCGGGUUGUAAAACUCUUUUACCAGGGAAGAUAAUGACUGUACCUGGAGAAUAAGCCCCGGCUAACUUCGUGCCAGCAGCCGC
rnacentral:rRNA from 1 species